rnacentral:rRNA from 1 species
CUGGCUCAGGACGAACGCUGGCGGCGUGCUUAACACAUGCAAGUCGAACGGGGUUUAACGAGAAGCUUACUUUUUGUUAAACCUAGUGGCGGACGGGUGAGUAACGCGUGGAUAACCUGCCCAAUAGCCUGGGAUAACGCCGGGAAACCGGUGCUAAUACCGGAUACGUUCACCGGAUUGCAUGGUCCGGUGAAGAAAGGUCCAAACCGCUACUGGAUGGGUCCGCGUCCCAUUAGCUAGUUGGUAGGGUAACGGCCUACCAAGGCGACGAUGGGUAGCCGGCCUGAGAGGGCGACCGGCCACACUGGAACUGAGACACGGUCCAGACUCCUACGGGAGGCAGCAGUGGGGAAUCUUCCGCAAUGGGCGCAAGCCUGACGGAGCAACGCCGCGUGAGUGACGAAGGUCUUCGGAUUGUAAAACUCUGUCCAGAGGGAAGAAGCAAGUGACGGUACCACUGGAGGAAGCCCCGGCUAACUACGUGCCAGCAGCCGCGGUAAAACGUAGGGGGCGAGCGUUGUCCGGAAUUACUGGGCGUAAAGGGCGUGUAGGCGGUCAAGUAAGUCAGUCGUGAAACCCAGCGGCUUAACCGCUGGCUGGCGAUAGAAACUGCGUGGCUUGAGUGCAGUAGAGGGGAGUGGAAUUCCCAGUGUAGCGGUGAAAUGCGUAGAUAUUGGGAGGAACACCCGUGGCGAAAGCGGCUCCCUGGCCUGUAACUGACGCUGAGGCGCGAAAGCGUGGGUAGCAAACAGGAUUAGAUACCCUGGUAGUCCACGCCGUAAACGAUGGGUGCUAGGUGUUGGGGGUAUCGACCCCCCCAGUGCCGCAGUUAACGCACUAAGCACCCCG